CUGGCAAAGAAAAGAGUAAAAAUCUGGAUAAAAUCGGUGAAGAAACACGACUUGUCCCUAUUGAAAGGAAUAGGAGAGAUAGAAAGUGCGGGGGUAAUAAGUUGAUUUAUUAGUUGUUUUUAGGAGAAAUAGAUAGGGGUGAGAGUAGGAA